CCCGAAGUUAUUUGUCCCUUCGUGGACGACGGGAUGUUUGGGGACACCGGCUGGUGGAGACGGAGCCUGAGUGUUCUUCGAGGAUGAGGUUCUUUCUAAGAAGAAUUUGAUGCACAGUAUGUCAAGUCGGGGUUUGUGACAGGACCAAGAAGCUGGAGAAGAAGAUCUGGAGAAGGUUUGUGAUGGUGGGAUGGAGGAGAAGAUGGUGGGAUGGAAGAUCUGGAGAAGGUUUGUGGUGGCACUAAAGAUCUGCAGAAGGUUUCUGACAGGACCAAGAAUCUGGAGAAGGUUUGUGGUGGGACCAAGGAUCUGGAGAAGGUUUGGGGUGGUGGGAUGGAGGAGAAGAUGGUGGGACAGAAGAUCCUGAGAAGGUUUGGGGUGGUGAGACAGAAGAUCUGGAGAAGGUUUGUGAUGGUGGGAUGGAAGAUCUGGAGAAGGUUUGGGGUGGAACUAAAGAUCUACAGAAGGUUUGUGACAGGACCAAGAAUCUGGAGAAGGUUUGUGGUGGGACCAAGGAUCUGGAGAAGGUUUGGGGUGAGACUAAAGAUCUGGAGAAGGUUUGGGGUAGUGGAAUGGAGGAGAAGAUGGUGAGACAGAAGAUCCUGAGAAGGUUUGUGGUGGUGAGACAGAAGAUCUGGAGAAGGUUUGUGAUGGUGGGAUGGAGGAGAAGACAGUGGGAUGGAAGAUUUGGAGAAGGUUUGGGGUGGUAGGAUGAAGGAGAAGAUGGUGGGACCGAAAGUUUGUGAUAGGACCAAGAAUCUGGAGAAGGUUUGUGGCAGGACCAAGAAUCUGGAGAAGGUUUGUGGCAGGACCAAGGAUCUCGAGAAGGUUUGGGAUGAGACUAAAGAUCUGGAGGAGGUUUGGGGUGGUGGGUUGGAGGGGAAGAUGGUGGGACAGAAGAUCUGGAGAAGGUUUGCAUUGGAACCAAAGAGCUGAAGAAGGUUUAGGGUGGAACUACAGAUCUGGAGAAGCUUUGGGGUGGCUUAGCAGACAACACAGAGUUGAUGGAAUUGAAAUAAACAUCCCCAGGAAAGCAGAGGCCACAGGGAACGUUAUUUCGCACCCACCUUUGCUGGUGCGGAAGGUCAGCAUGGCCGGCUGGCCCUCGCCCACCGCGCUCCGCGCCACCAUCAGCACCUCAUAGAGGCUGGAGGGCUCCAGCUCGUUAAGGCGCAGCUCGUUCUCGCUGCCGGGCACACGCACCGUGUGCCACGUCCCCGC